rnacentral:tRNA from 1 species
GCGGGUGUAGUUCAAUGGUAGAACGAGAGCUUCCCAAGCUUUAGGCGUGGGUUCGAUUCCCAUCACCCGCUCCA